AUGGUGCAAUGUUAUUCCUACCACCUGUAUUCCGUGUGUUUCUCUGCACAGGCCCCAUGCACCCAGGAUGCGGUGUUCCCAAGUCUCCUUUACUCCGGCGACGGGACACCAUGGACACUGGGUGCACCAGCAGUGGAAGGCAAGAGCCGGGCCCCGGAGAGAACUUCUCCCCCUCCACCACCUCCAGUCUUUGAGAUCUCCACCCAGAACCGCAUUGCUUCCCUUCGUGAGACGGAACGCGACACUGUGGUCAUCAAAGAAUCCAUCGUCCGGCACAUCCUCACUACCUCAGCUAAAGGAAAGGUGCACACUUACUGUUCACGCUCAUAUUCUCAAUGUUUCUGCACAGAUACAUUCAAUCCUGAAGGGCGAUGAGAGCAUCAGAACGGUCAUGCUUCACGCGGGGGUGAACGACAUCAAGCUGCAGCAGACAGAGAUUCUGAAUAGGGACUUCAGGAGCCUCAUCGAGAUGCCUCUUCUGUGCUGAUGGCGGAACUCCUGUCGGACGACAUCUCCAGGACGCUACGCUCCAUAUGACUAGAUGGGAAUCCUGAGGUAACUAGGAAUAACACUAGCUUCAGUCUGGAUCCAGCCCAUACGAAGAUCUGAGAUGACCAAGCAAGAAGAAGAGAUGAUGCCAACCCCUCAGAGGACCUCAGAUCAUGCCAACCAACAUACAAAACUACCAAAUUUUCCUAUAAGUUUGAUCACAACAUAUAAUCAUAGCUGUUAAUAGUGUUCACUGUUUGUUUGAAUACA